rnacentral:tRNA from 1 species
GGGAUUGUGGCUCAGUGGUAGAGUGCUUACCUCGCAUGUAUGAGCACUUGGUUCGUUCCUCAGCACCA